CACCAAUGGAUUGGAAUGGAAUGUAGGAUUCUCUUCUUGCCCUACCCUGGAAUCAUUUGAUAUCCUUGUGUUAUCUUCCUCUACAAAAAGGGCUAGUUGAAAUAAUGACAUGUGGGAGAUCAGCACUCCAAGUCAAAAUUGCAAAACAGAAGAAAAUUCCAGAAUUAUAUCACUGUUAAUAGAUAAACCUUGCACUGUACCCAGUUGGAUUUCAGAACAUUGAAGAGCAGCAGCUUUUAUGGGAAUAAGAGUGUCCCUUACAGAGUCAAAAUCUGAAAAUAAAGUAGCUAUAAUGUUGAACAGCUGUACUCUAAGUCUACAGGGAGAGAGAAAACAAAACAAAUAAUCAGUUCAGCUCACCUAGAUAGAGGACACGAUUUAUAUUUCAGCGAGAAACAUUCAAAGGUAAGUAGAUUAUACUCUAAUAGUUAAUACCAAUAAUAAUAACUGAUGCUAUUACCAUCAUCUGAGAUUUUUGAGCCCCUUACUGAAAAACUUUAAUAAGCUGUCUGAUCUAAUCCCCAAAACAACUCUACUGUUUCGGUUUAGGAAAAAUUAAUCCCUCAUCAACUGUCAUUCAGCAUUUUAAACCUAGUGACAGGAUUCUACUUUAGAUUUAUCUUAUUAAAAAUUGUUUGCUCUUUCAUUCACAUUAACUUUUUUGGGUAUGAGUUAUAUAUUUCAGUAACUAACUGAGAAGUUAGUAUGUUGACAUCAACUCAGUGCAUAUUAGGCUUCCAUAAACACAGCAGCCAUUUUCUUUAAUAAAUGUAUCUACCACUGGCAGUUUGCCAGUCUGGGAGAGUAGAGGUGGAAUCUACAAAUAUCCUACUGGCAAAACAGAUUGGAUGUCUCUGAGCUAUCAGAAAAAUGUUUCAUAGCACCUUCCAUGGCUCUAUAUGUAUAGUGAAAUGUUGAAUAAAUAAGUAAUCUAAGCAAAUAAUCACUAAAGGGAGAAAAGAAGCAAUAAUUGAACAAACAGAAAUUAUAACCUGGAAUGAAAGAACAGGCAUUGUAACUUUUAUAAACAAACCAUCAAAAGAAACAGCAUUUGCCUUUCCAGCACUACCUUUGCUAGGGAUAGUAAACAAAUUUAAUUAUUCUGAAACACAUUUUAAGGAAAAACUCUAUUAAUGUUGUCAGUCAGCAGGUGGCAUGAAAGCAAUCCAGGAAUAAAUCAAGUUGUACCUAAGAUUUUUGUAGCAACCUUUGCAAGUGUUUAAAACUGAAUGAAUGUGGCCAUCUGUGACUGUUUAUACACAAAGGCCAUUUCAAUAACUUCAUAUAAACAAAAACAGACAAGAUUUUCAGCAGGCUCCUACCAGGUGCCCAGCCAUAUGAGAUUCAAUUUGUUCCCACUACCUUUUAUUGAGAAAAGAACCUGUAUUUAAUGAUCAGUGUAUCAUAAAGAAUCACCUUGUGAUUCAUCACUCAAAAUACAUGGAAAACUAACACAGAAAAAAAAGAGAUCAUGUAAAGUUCUAAUGUGCUGUUGCUAAAUGGCUUAUAUAGUAAAUGCUGUGCCCUAGACAAGCAUUAGCAGAUGCUGGUGUCUUCAUAACCUAUACAGUGGAACUUUGGAAUAGUGCUGAAUAAAUCCCAGUGUAAGACUUUUUGUUUGUAUGAAAAGUGUAGUGAAAGAAGGAGUAGUAAAUCAUGGUAAUUUCUAAUCUCUAAUUGAAUAUUCUAAUGUAAAUAUUCUAAUAUCAUUAUUCCCAUCCCUAUCUGUACCUUACAGCCAUAUUAAAACCACUUAGGGGCCCAUAGCAUUUCUCAAAAUGAAAAUACUCUAAUUCAUUUAUUUUCAUCCUUCUGUGAACAUUAAAACCACUAAAACCACGUAAUGAGGCUUUAAAAAGUCUAAAUAAAUUAGAAUACCUGUGGGUGGUAUCUAAGCACACCAGAUCUUCCAAUGUAUAGCAAGAACUGAAAAGUUACUGCUCUAUAGGAAAAACAAACACACAAAAAGUAGAAAUUUUUCUGAGAAUAAUGAAAAAUUACACAAACGUUGGCUAUGAAAACUAAAAGAAAAUUAAUUAGAAUGCAAGUUGUGUAUACAAUUAGAAUGAGAGAAUUUCAAGCUGAUUUUAAUAAGAAGAAAAAUGUCAACAUUCACUGGAAAAGGAAAAUGUUUUUUCUUUUAUUAUACACAACGAUUAACAGAAAAAGGAGUGUCAGAAAGAUUGUAGAAAUGAAAAAUGAAGUAUGAAAUAUAGUUACACAGAAACUAUAGUUUGUAAAAUUUAUUAAGAAAAACUUAAAAAUCAUUUUUAUGUUACCUACAUUUUAAAUUUUAUAUCAACCUAAGAUUGCAAGAAAUAAAAGUAUGUGACAAUCUGCCAUAUUUCUCUGUUGUGCUUUAGAAAUUACAUCUGUUUUACUAGAAGUCAAGUGAUACAAAAAAAGUCUUUACUCCUGAUAAAACAAGUAUAUAAUCAGGUUAAACUACUGUGCUAAAUUACUAUAAUCUAUAGAUUCUCCUCAAGUAAGAUCACCCUACUUGGCCAGUCAUCUGCACAAGGCUUACAACAAUGCUUCCGUAUGCUACCUCAUAAAUGCACUGUGCCAGUUCACAAAGUUCUAUGGCCAGAUCCUGGUUUCUGCUUACUGAUAUUGGUUCUCAGCCAUGUAAGCCAAGUGGAAAGAAACUUUAACCCCACACUAGAGUAUCAUCCAAUGCUUCAAGGCUUAGCUGAGCACUGUGAGUUUAAACUGUUUAUCAGCUUCCAGGAGAUCACCAGUAUUAAAUCUACCAGGCUUCAAACUGCCAUUUCACUCCACCACUAUUCUCCCUUACCAAAGAAUAUUUCCACUUCAAUUUUAUACUUACAGUGAUUUGUUUCCUUUUCCUACCCUAAGAUGACAUUUCUCUUUUCCAAACAAACUAAUUGUGCCUUUUGAAACUCCUGCUUCGUAAUUUAAAAUGAUAUAUUUUUCACGUGCAGAAACCUGCUUUUCCAAACCCCAUUCUCCAGAUGAUAAAGACCCUAUAAUUUUUAUGUCCAUAUUUCUUUUCCUCUUCACCUAUUUCCCUAUUCAGCUAAGAUUGUAUCAUCUUUGUUUCCAUUUUAUUUUCUUAUUUUUGCCUGGUAAUUCUGAGGUGCAGAUAAAUUUGACAUAUAGAUAAUUCUUGGAGACAUGAGACUAGAUAAGACCUACUAGGGAAAGAGAAACAUGCAAAGGGAAGAGGGAAGGAGUGCAUCUUAGAUUAUCAUCUGCAACUAUUUCAUUCUUCUGUUUUAUAUUGAGUCUGGUUUGGUAUCGUGCUAAACAUUUUACAUUUACAAUAUCAUUUAUUACUCAAUAGCACCUCUAUAAAUAAGUCUACUGACCUCAUUGCACAAAUAUGUAAAGUAACUUUCAAAAUGUCAAAUAAGUUGCCCUAAAUCACAUAGCUGUAACAUGAAAGAGAAAGAUUACUUAUCUCUACCUUAAAAAUUCCACUAUGCUCUUUCCACUAUGCUCUUUGUGCAAGAUACAUGGUAAAGUAGUUUGUGCAUAUCUUCACUUUCCCACCCAAAAUACAUUAAGAAAAGUAAGAUUACCCACGGAGGUAAGAAAGCAGUAUCAACUACCCAUUUCCUUCUUCUUUCUCUCUGGUUAUGGAAAAUUUACUUUCCAAAGGCAGGCAUUCUCUCCCAGGAAGGUCAUGAUUUCAGGGUCCUGAACUGUGACUAUUCUCUAGGUCCAUGCAUGUUUGUGUCUUUCUACAAGGUCAGACUUGUGCUGAUGCUGUUUCAAUUACAAAAGCCACAAGCUACAUGGAGUUUCCAAGGAAGAAAUUCUCUUUAGUACUUCCCAUUCACUCAGUAGUCAGAGCUAUGGAUACACGAGCUCAAGCCACUCCACAAGUCAGUCAAUAUUGCAAAACACACACAAUAGUAUAGUUGAUCAAUAUAUAAAUGUUGUAGAUUAAACAUUCCACGACAAAUUAACAUUUAACAUCAAGAGAAAAGGAAUGGGAAAAGGGUUAGCAAACCAGUCCAGGGAGAGCAAUGUAGACAAAAAGAAUAUCUUUGUCUGGCCCGGGUAGUCUAUCAGUCUUACAAGGCAGAGUGUUUGAUGUGGACAGAGUCUUUGGUGGCAGAUGUUGGGUACUUAUCACGAGUGACAGCAAGACAGUGUCUGUUAAGACAGCUGUCUUGAGAUGGUGAAGUCCUGUACUUUUUAUGGCCAAGGAGUCCUCUGGUGAGGACUGAUAGUGGAGGAGUGUGCUCUGCUAUGUCCUUAUCUGGUUGGAAGCAGUCUUCAUUUAUUAGGCAAAACAUCCAGUCCUUGGUGGCAUAAGUGCCCUAUGAAAUAUAAGACAGAGUCUUUUUCUAAGAUGGAAUUAUCUUGAUCUAAGUAAUCAAGUACAACUGUACUGCACUUGAUUUCCACUAAUCGAAACUAGAGGAGGUUGGUAAUGUCAGAAAAAACUGAAAUAGAAAGGAUGUGUCCACCAGAACCAUCACAAGAUAUGACAAAGGUUAAGAUUUUUAAUAGUUCCAUUUAUCAGCUUAUGUGAUUCAGAGAUGGGCAAAUUUUUGGUGGUUCUAAACCAUAAAUCCUUUUAUAUAAGAAAACAGAGCUUAUUUCUUACUGGUGUCUCUACUGCUAAGACCAGUUUAGAAGAAUUUUCUGACUAAAAUGGACCUAAAUGGUUUAUUCUACUUAGUGAGACAAAGCUUACUAAUAUAUACACAUAAAUUAAUUGUAUGGUGAAGUGUCAAGAAUGGUGAAAAACCAAUUACUGUAAAAUUUAGUUUUAUGAAACAGUCAUCUAUAAUGCUCAUGGAUUCUGUGGUCAAGAUUUCAGAUGGGGCAUUGCAGAGAUAGUUUGUCCCUGCUCCAUUAUGUCUAUGGCCUCAACUGUGAGACCCAAAGACUAGGGCCUCUUUUGAAGGGUCAUUUACUUGCGUAUCUUUUGAUGGUUGAUGCUGGUUGUUGAGAUUCAGUUCGUAUCCAUUGUGCCUUGACAAGUGGUCUCUCCAGAGUGGCUGGUUCAGGCUAGCUCACAGUAUGAUGAAUGUCUUUCAUAGCCAUGUAUCCUGUGAGAGUAAAACACAGGUAGGAAAUGACAUUUUUAAGGCCAAGCAUUUAACUCACAUGGAAUUCACUUUCCACUAUUUUCUAUGGAGAGAAGCAAUUGCAUCACCAACUCAGAUUCCAGAGAAGGGAAUAGAUUUCACCUGCUGAGUGAAGAAGUAUCAGUCACAUUUUUAAAAUAACAUGUGAGAAGAUAUAUAUGACCAUCUUUGGAAAAUAAAAUACACUAUAAAUAUUGAUAUUAAUUUGUCAUUUAUCAGAGAGAAAUGGAAAAUUCUUCAUGUCCUUGUUCUCUUACCUUCAUCAUUUAUUGUUAGACAUUCAUAAACAAUUAAUUUUUAAAUUUCCUGUAUACCAAACCACCUCUCAAAUUACAAGGAAUAUGUAGGUAUUAUAAAACUUAAUAGCGAUCAGUUGCCCCUCUUUUAAAAAUAAAUAUCUGAUUUCAAUUGGUUUUGAUGUAAUAAUAUGGCAUAUAAAUAUCCUGUAAGCUAUUUUGUGAGAGGCACUGGCAUAUCUAUUUAGAGAUAUAAAUACAUUUACAGAAAAUUGAAGAUAAUAUUUCUUAAAAGAUCUAAAUCACAGUAAAUUUAGGCCAAAACUCUACCAAGUAAAUCCCCAGCGACAACUGCCUUACAUAACAUCAUAGUUGUGAAACAGUUAUAUGGAUAUUUUCUUUAAAUAAGAAUUUAUUUCUAAAGAAACCUUUAAGAAAAUAUGACAGCACUAUAGAAAAUUUCUUGGAGAAGAGCUCAGAAUAGUUAAUCUAUAGAUAGUGUUUAUCAAUCCCUACAGUCUUAUUUAGGUUAUUUUUAUUAUAAAUUAAUUCAAGUAAUUUAUAUCAUUAUCAAUCUUUCUACAUCAUUAUAUUCUUAUCAAUUUUCUUUGACUAACGCAAUCCCCAAGCAGAGGCAUACUAUAAUACAUCAUCUUGUAAUUGCAAUAUAUAUAUAUAGCAAGAUGAUAUAUCUUGUAAUUGUCAAAUCUUUAAGAAAAAUAACAGAGAAACAGUGUCACUUUUCAUUAGAAUUAUUGGUAACAUAUCUAAUCAACACAUUGAUUUUCCUAAGCUAAUUUUUCUUAAAAUAUUUUAUAAUUCUCUAAACAUUUCUAAAAUAGAAAAAGCUUAACAUAAAAAUGAGUUUUUAUAAACCUUCUAAACUUUUCCUUUCGUAUACAGAAAUCGAUAAAAAAGGUAAAAACAUAGAAAAAAUCUUUGAAAAUUGGAUUUAGCUAAGAUUUGUUAAACAAUACACAAAAUAAAAAACACAAAAAUUGAUAAAAUAUACUUCACCAACAUUAAAAAUAUUUGCUUUUUAAAUACAUAGCUAAGGACAUAGAAAAGCAAUUGAGAGAAAUUUUUGCUAAUCCCACAAUGGCUUACUGUUCAGAAUAUGGAAAGAACUCUUAUAAGUCAAAAUUAAUAGUAGGACAACCCAAUUGAAAAUUAGG